rnacentral:tRNA from 1 species
ACAGGGAGACAAACUGAUCAUGAUGUCUGAGUACUUUAUUCUCAGGCCAUGGUCCUGUCACCUUAGGUCGAUCGGUACCUCAAGGAGUGAAUCAGAGAGUCUGAGCAAUCAGAGGAGACUGACUUUACUUUUUCAGUUCUUAAACGUUGUCUAGGUCACCCCAAAGCUCCUGGGCCAUUAGCUCAGGUGGUUAGAGCGCACCCCUGAUAAGGGUGAGGUCCCUGGUUCAAGUCCAGGAUGGCCCAUGCAAAGCCUGCUGAGCAGGCAGGACUUGACAGCUGGGGGUUUAGCUCAGUUGGUAGAGCGCCUGCUUUGCAAGCAGGAUGUCAGCGGUUCGAGUCCGCUAACCUCCAUCGCAACGCAAAGCCCCACAAGCGCAAGCCAGUGAGGAGAGAGGGAGUGAACCAGACAGGGAAGGAGAGAAUGGAUCCGAGGGAAAGGGAUCCAUCAGCUGAGGAAGACUCCAGCCUUCAGGAUUGAUGGAGCCUCUGAAAGGCGCCAUGAGUUUUGAAUGCUGGACUCACAUUUCAUCAUGGUCAAGCUGUGAUGGGAUGAGAUGUUCAGCGAAGAACCUUGACAACUGCAUAGGUGAGUCUGGAAAGAAAGCAUCUCAUGGAUGCCAAUUGUUCAGCGCUGAUCAGUCUGGGAGACCAGGUUGAUGGCAAUGGGGAAUUGGAGAUUCUAUGACGUUAAGAGCCGAGACUUUCCAGUGUUCUUUCAAGGACUGGCCAAUCCAGCCAGACUGCGGGAGUUUGAUUCUGUGAUUCAAACCACAAGCGACGAUCAAGACGCCCCUUGUGGGUGAAUUCAUGGUGGCGAGUCUAGGUGAAUGCAGAAGAAGCGGCCAC